rnacentral:rRNA from 1 species
AUUGAACGCUGGCGGCAGGCCUAACACAUGCAAGUCGAGCGGAUGAAGGGAGCUUGCUCCUGGAUUCAGCGGCGGACGGGUGAGUAAUGCCUAGGAAUCUGCCUGGUAGUGGGGGAUAACGUCCGGAAACGGGCGCUAAUACCGCAUACGUCCUGAGGGAGAAAGUGGGGGAUCUUCGGACCUCACGCUAUCGGAUGAGCCUAGGUCGGAUUAGCUAGUUGGUGGGGUAAAGGCCUACCAAGGCGACGAUCCGUAACUGGUCUGAGAGGAUGAUCGGUCACACUGGAACUGAGACACGGUCCAGACUCCUACGGGAGGCAGCAGUGGGGAAUAUUGGACAAUGGGCGAAAGCCUGAUCCAGCCAUGCCGCGUGUGUGAAGAAGGUCUUCGGAUUGUAAAGCACUUUAAGUUGGGAGGAAGGGCAGUAAGUUAAUACCUUGCUGUUUUGACGUUACCAACAGAAUAAGCACCGGCUAACUUCGUG